AGCAGGUGAGGCACUACUUGUUUCUGUAGAGGAAGCAUAAAUGGUGGCUGUUACAGCAUUGUUCUUUGUCUCUCUUUUUAGGAAGUUAAAGCCGAGAGCAGCAGUCAAGGCCAAGUGGGCGAGGUGGUCCGCUUGCAAUCUAUCCUAGCCGAGCAUAUCCGUGCCAGGUGCUGUUGCUGCCCUAGGUACGCCAAGGAACAGAGGAGGGCA